UCUACGGGAGGCAGCAGUGAGGAAUAUUGGUCAAUGGGCGCGAGCCUGAACCAGCCAAGUAGCGUGAAGGAUGACUGCCUAUGGGUUGUAAACUUCUUUUAUAAGGGAAUAAGUCACUUACGUGUAAGUGUUUGUAUGUACCUUAUGAAUAAGCAUCGGCUAACUCCGUGCCAGCAGCCGCGGUAAUACGGAGGAUGCGAGCGUUAUCCGGAUUUAUUGGGUUUAAAGGGAGCGUAGAUGGGCUUUUAAGUCAGUUGUGAAAUUCUGCGGCUCAACCGUAGGACUGCAGUUGAAACUGGGAGCCUUGAGUGCAGUUGAGGUG
rnacentral:rRNA from 1 species